AUUCCAUUCACCUAAUUAAGAUGACUUGCGUUGUCUGAUCUUUCCAAAAGGAAAUCAUGAGGAUUAGUAAUAACCCUAUCCUGCUUUAACAGUGUGACAGCCUGAAUAGGUCAGAGCGGUAAUUACAAUCCAUCUGCCUUUGAUAUGCUCUCAAAACACGAAUGCUUUCAUGACUCAGUAGUGUAGUAUCACUUCUGCUGUACAAAAUAGAUGCCAUACUUACACAUCAAAGUCCGUUUGGUUUUGUUUAGCAUGUGCUGGAGGAUUACGAAUGGGACAAAGUGAUUUAUAUACAAGCUUAUGUAAGGUUUUCAUUGAGUGUUUGAUGUUUGGUUGAAGUGUUUGAUCCUUUAUUCAAUUGUUGCCUGACAUUUUACUCUUGUUCAUGCCCUAGCCUCCAUAGUGACGGUGAUACGACUGGUAAACAAUGCAGUGGACACCAUUAAAAAUGAAGCCUACCAAUGGCAAACAACGGAGUGGCUUGACACGUGUCUCCCAGGACUGGAAUCAACACCUCGAGACCAGACCCCUACACCCCCACCUCCACCCCUUCCUGCUCCCCCACCUCCCCUGACCCCUACACGGCUAGGCGGCACGCCAACCCGCCUGGGCGGCAGUGUCCGGUUGGAUGGCAGCACCUUGUCGCUGCAGACUGGCUUCCCAUUACGACGAUACCAGGGCCAGAGAAAUUUCCGCACAUCUCUUACACUGGACAACGACAACUCGCCUGUUUAUGAAGAAUACCAUAACCCAGAUCACUACGACAAUGACACUGUACGCCCGCUGGGUUUUAGUGAGGGCCGAUCCAGACUCGACUAUCAUCACUCCAGCCAGUACUUGCUCUCUCACCCUCCCCUACUGACCUGGGAGGAGCGUCCACGUGUCUGGGAGGUCACACACCCUUUCGGCAGCCAGCAGGAGAUCGACAGACUGGGCAGGAUUUCGCUUCGGGCUCAACGCUUGCGUAGUCAGAGCCCAAAGAGAUCUUUGUCCGGCUUGAGAGAGUAUUAUUGACCAUUAACAGGACAAAAAGUACUUAAUUAUACUGGAUGCUUGUGAUCAUGCAACUGAGGACUUGGCCUGAACAUGUGUGCUGAUCUGUUGGGAAUGGAAACGUCAGGACUCUCACAGCCACAGUUAUACUGCACACUAGUGCUUAUUCUUCACGUCCUUCAUUAAAUGAAUAGGUCACCCAAAAAUGAGAAUUGUCAUCAUUUACUCACCCUCAUGUUGUUCCAAACGUAUACAACUUUUUUGUUGUAGAACACAAAAGAAAAUAUUUUGAACUGUUUUUCGCCAUACAAUUAGUAAAUGAGGUGCAAAACAAUUGGAUUGGAGGUCCAAAAUUCAGUGGAUCCCGUUGACUUUAUUUUGAAGAAUGACUUAUUAGACAAUUAAAAUAUUCAAAAUAUUUUCUUUUGUGUUUUACUGAAGAAAGCCAUACAGGUUUGGAAUGAUGUGAAAGUGAGUAAAGUGUAAUUAAUGGGUGAACUAUCCCUUUAACUAGACAUGCGAGAGGACAUUGUUAACACUAUUACUUUCCCAUGAAAGCAUCUGAAAAACAUGGUGGUUGUGGGUUUGUGUAUGCUACUGUUUAUUGAGAAAUCACAUAUUUUAUUGAUGGAAUCCAUAUACAGCAGUGGUUCGCAACCAGGAGGCUGGGGCUCACUAAGGGGCUUCAGCAAACUUGAAAGGGGGCCUCAAUAGGACUUGAAAAUAUUUAAAAUGGAGAUAUUGUUUUUUUGACCCCCUCAACCUCUUUGUAAUUGAAAAAAACAGGAUUCCUACAGUCUUGGAAAACAUGAAUUUAUGAGGGUUUCGAUUUCUUGACCUGGAAUACUAUAUUGAUGGAAAUUAGUAAAUGCUUAAAAUGAUUUAAAAUAUGUAUAUCAUCAGGCAGAAAUUGAGUAAAAUAUUUAAGAAAAACCGGAUAUAAAGACUUCGUUUUAGUAAAAGCCUAAGGGCCUUUGAAAAUUGCUGUGGACAGUGGGUGGCCUUGGAGUCAAGAAGGUUAAGAACAGCUGAUAUUUAUGACCAAGGAGGACCAAAUCUUCCAAGUAUGCCCUUGGACAGCCAGUGAUAUGCUAUUACAACAGUCGGAAGGAGAAAGGAAACCUGUUUUAUUCCAUGGACUAUAUAGAAGCUGUGGAGAAAAACAAGUCCAUGUAAUUACAUUUUUGUUGAAGCUUCAAGGUUUGUAAGGCUCUAAUGUAUGCAUACUCAAAUUGAUUCCAGAAAUGAAAGCACACAGGUGCAAUUUACAUAAAUGAAGAGCUGUUUAUGUAGAGCCGUUUGUAGACAUGACAAGUACAUAUUAAUCACUCAUCGCACACCUGGCAUUUUAGUCUUUUGCUGUUUAUGGUGCUGUUUUUGUGAUUUUUAUUUAGUUUAUAAGGGAGUAACUUUGACACUUCAAUAACAUCUGUUAAAUGUUUAGUAUGUUAGAGACAUACUGUAUGUUGAAACAUAUGGGCUUUUUGAACAGGAAAAAGGUUCUCAUUAAGGUUGCUUUUAGGAUGUGGCUAGAAAUGGGAAUGGUUUUUUUUUUUUUUUUUAUGCAUAUUGUAUCUCUGUUUUUUCUUCACCCCCAGUAGCAAUUGCCCAAAUAAUAUAGACAGUAUAAAAAUAAUUUAAUAAUUUUAAUAAUUAUUAAUAAUUUUUUUGGAUUAUGAAAUAUUGUUUUGUUUGUCCUAUUUUUUGUAUGUCCUAUUUUAUAUAUUUUUAAUACCUCAUUUUAGUGAUCAUGCAUUGACUUAUGGAAUUAUUAUUAUGUUUAAAUUUAUUGCCUUUGUAGAGUCUAGAGUCAUUUUAUAUAAGACAUGAUACACAAAUAGGAAAAAGCAUGAGGAAUGUUUUAUUUUAGUUUUAUAUUUAGUUUGUUUGUGUAAACAAACCAGAGAAUAUUUUAUUAAAGCAAUAAAUCUGAUUAUUUUAAUGGUUUUCAGGAUGAGCUUGUGGGUCAGAGGUUCUGAUGGUCUGUGUUGUGCUCAUACAUGUUGAUAUUGUUUAUUUAAUGUGUAGAAAUCACCUUGUAUCUAUGAAUAAAAUGCUUUGACCAGUGUAUAAAAAAAAAGCUACAGCUACCAUAAUAUAUAAUCUUUACAUUGAUUUAACAAGGAUUACUUAGUAUAUCUCAGUAGUAAAGAUGUUUUGGCAUAAAUGCUCAUCACAUAAUAUUUUGAUGGCUAUGAGAUUAAAUCAUAUUUAUGUCAUUCCUCUAAGAGAGAAGCUUCUGUUCUCCAAGUUCUUUUAUGCAAAUGUAUGUGAUUUUACAGUUGAAUGAAAAUAUCUACUCCUAUUAAAAUCCUCCUGACUGACACUUAAUUGAACAGUUAGAUUGAAGUUAUCAUGCAUAAUGAACUGAACAAAUCUUUGCACAAGCCAAUCUUCCCUGUGCACAACAGAAAGCCACAUGAGUACAGAUGAAGAUAACAGUGUUAUACAGAAUGUUCCAGUUUUUUAUACAGUAGUUACAUCAUUGUUUGUGUUCCAUCUUUUACGAAAGAAGUGCACAAAAGGCCACUCUUGUUGAACGCAAACAAUAUAAGACACUGUAGAAUUUCCAAAAGCAGCAUUUGUGCAUUUAAAGAGACAACUGUACAGGAGACAACACAAUCCGAUUGCAUGAUCCAAAGCUUGUUUACAGGCAAAGUUCCAGGAAUCUGGCUUAUAUGAUCGAAACAUAAUAAUGCUUUCAAUUCUGGGCCUUUUCUCUUUGUUGUUCAGGGACUUCUCCAAGAAUACAUUGGUUUCACAUCAGAGAUUGGGUUUUGUAAACACCCUGUGUUUCUGUGCUUUUAUAUUCUGGGUGUAUCAGUGAGCAUGCUUUUUCUUUUCAAGUUUGAAAGUAUGUGGUUCAAAAGCGCAGUGUAAAUAUUUAGUGUAUUGUCUUUCGUGAAUGACUUUGGUCCGAGUCAGUUAAAUGUACUGUACAGGGAUGGAGGUGGGGGGUUAGAAAAAUGGUUUACAUGGCCAGCUGAAUAUGCAUUCACACUGUGAUACAUUCAACACACUAUCAAGGCAAUUCAGAUCUGAUUUAUAUGGAAGCCCUUUGCCACUACUGAAUAAAAAAAAUGAAAGUAACUGCAACUUUUUAUCUCACAAAUCUCACGUUGUUUUUUAAGACACAAUUUUGCAAGGUGUAAACUGUGAAUUCUGACUUACUCUUGCAAUUCACAUUUUAAGGCUCACAUUUUCGAGUUUAUAUCUUGGAAUU
ensembl:lncRNA